UCCGGUUUGGCACCGGCAGUCCCCCUAGAGUUCCCGGCAUGACCCGCUGGCAACUAAGGGCGAGGGUUGCGCUCGUUGCGGGACUUAACCCAACAUCUCACGACACGAGCUGACGACAGCCAUGCAGCACCUGUGCACGGGCUCCGAAGAGGGCCCCCGGUUUCCCGGGGGUUUCCCGUACAUGUCAAGCCCAGGUAAGGUUCUUCGCGUUGCGUCGAAUUAAACCACAUGCUCCACCGCUUGUGCGGGCCCCCGUCAAUUCCUUUGAGUUUCAGCCUUGCGGCCGUACUCCCCAGGCGGGGUACUUAAUGCGUUAGCGCCGGCACCCAGGGGGUCGCUCCCCCAAGCACCUAGUACCCAUCGUUUACGGCGUGGACUAC
rnacentral:misc_RNA from 1 species